ACCUCUGCAGCUGGUUGAAAAUUUAUCGCAAGAAGCAAUUUGUCCGUGGUUUGUGGAACAAAUGUGGCCUGUAAAUUGCCUCGCCGAAUCACAAAUCUCUCUCAGCCGCAAGUUCACGCAAAGUGAAUCAUUUGAGGGGAAGUUCAAACUGACAAGAAAGUGGAGUUUAAAAAAAGUGACAUUUAUGGGAAAUGUGUCCAGCAAAGUUUAAGGAAGGUUCAGCAUUCCAAACUGAUACAAGUAUUAACCAUUUCACUGCCAAAUCUCCUCUACAGCUUGUACAAUCCAAAACCCUUGCAAGUGAGCACUUCUGACUUUUCUAAAGACGGCCACUAACUAAGACAGCAACUGAAGCUGAAGGAUUAGGUUGUCAAGCUCAGCUUGUCAUUUUCAAAAAGGACUGCUGCUUGUUACAUCUUCACAGACCCUGGCUAUUGCUCCCGACUUUAAAAGAAGACAACCGUAGCCUGCAUUGAUCAUGGAUGUCCUGCUUUUAUACAUUAGAAGUUGUGGGGCUGUAAAGCUAAUCACAUUUGUUGAGUAUGAAUUUAUCUAAAGGGAGGAUUUCAUGUGGAACCUCGAGGGUUAAUGGAAUGCUUGGCUGCACAUUCUAAGAGAGUAAGGAGGCUUCUCCCAAUCAGCUGUCAGCAGGCAUAAUAGCACAGGAUGGGCUGUGUUAAGAAACAAUAUUCAGCAGUUUGAAGGCUCCCUUCAGCCUUCACAAGGAGGCUGAGAUACACAUCACUUACUCCGAUAUUGAAAAAACCAUUGUUUUUUCUUUCCUCCUCACUUCUUCCUCCUGGGUUUGAAUGACUAACCAGUGGAGCUGAUCUGCCCACUUUAUCUCAUUAGAUGCACCAGAUAGAACACAUUGAUGUCAAUCUAUUGUUCACAGUCUUGAUUUGAACAAGGGCUCUGGUCAGGAGGGGGCUGCUUUCAACGUGCGGAGGGCAAAAGAAAGUUGAAUGGAGUUGAUAUCAUACAAGUGUUUAUCUUUUUGUCGUAAGAUUGGAUGAAAAAAGUCUGCACCAAAAAUAAAUUUUGGCCCUUUAGAAGUUUACUAAGGCAACACAGUUUAAUUUUGUGAAGUCAAUUAAUGAUUUUAAAUGUGUAAAAAUAAUCCUUGAUAUGUAUUUAACAAGCUAUGUGCAUUAUUUAGAAGGGAAAUCUAAACAAUUAAAAUCUCAUAAAUUGUAAAGGAUGUGUGUGAGUGUCAUUAAGGCAAGGAAAAACUGUGUCAUUGUUCAUUCUAUGUUAAGUCUUCUUCUCAUUUGUUCCUGUAUGAUCCUUUGAUCUCUCUGUCUAUAAAUUCU